GUGGAGCAGAGCUUAAACCCCCCUGCCCAGAAACACUGGGGGAGAGCUUUGUGCAGAUCUAAGGGCUGAGGCACCCGCUGAGAGGGCUUCACCCCACCUCCACUGCCAGCUGUGUGCUGUCCUGGGCUACCCUACUGAGGAGGACAGGGAGCCAAGUUCUCAGUCAUGAGAACACAAAUUGAAGUGAUCCCUUGCAAGAUCUGUGGGGACAAGUCAUCUGGGAUCCACUACGGGGUUAUCACCUGUGAGGGGUGCAAGGGCUUCUUCCGCCGCAGCCAGCAGUGUAAUGUGGCCUACUCCUGCACGCGUCAGCAGAACUGCCCCAUUGACCGAACCAGCCGCAACCGAUGCCAGCAUUGCCGCCUGCAGAAGUGCCUGGCUCUGGGCAUGUCCCGAGAUGCUGUCAAGUUUGGCCGAAUGUCCAAGAAGCAGAGGGACAGUCUACAUGCAGAAGUGCAGAAACAACUGCAACAGCAGCAGCAACAGGAACAAGUGGCCAAGACUCCUCCAGCUGGGAGCCGCGGAGCAGACACACUUACAUACACUUUAGGGCUCUCAGAUGGGCAGCUACCACUGGGCGCCUCACCUGACCUACCCGAGGCCUCUGCUUGUCCCCCUGGCCUCCUGAGAGCCUCAGGCUCUGGCCCACCAUAUUCCAAUACCUUGGCCAAAACAGAGGUCCAGGGGGCCUCCUGCCACCUUGAGUAUAGUCCAGAACGAGGCAAAGCUGAAGGCAGAGACAGCAUCUAUAGCACUGACGGCCAACUUACUCUUGGAAGAUGUGGACUUCGUUUUGAGGAAACCAGGCAUCCUGAACUUGGGGAACCAGAACAGGGUCCAGACAGCCACUGCAUUCCCAGUUUCUGCAGUGCCCCAGAGGUACCAUAUGCCUCUCUGACAGACAUAGAGUACCUGGUACAGAAUGUCUGCAAGUCCUUCCGAGAGACAUGCCAGCUGCGACUGGAGGACCUUCUACGGCAGCGCACCAACCUCUUUUCACGGGAGGAGGUGACCAGCUACCAGAGGAAGUGUCAGAGGCUAGACACACCUGUGAGAUCAUCCUCAGCCCGUCCAACAACUGGCCUCUGAGAACAGAAUUUACACUGAGGGAGAAGUACAGAAGAUCAUACAGAGAUGGCUCCACAGUGUCUGCCACCCCUUCUGUCACACUCUGACAGUACCAGAGGCUCUGAAGUCAGCUGGCACUUCACAUUUGCACCUCUCAGUUGCUGAGACCUUCUUCAGGAGGAGCAGUAAUUAACAAUGUGUACACUGUUUGCAGGUGAAACUGUAUCAUGUAUGGUUUCCCUUUCUCCACAACAGCUAUCACAGUGUUGCAGGAAAGCCAUCGCCUCCUAUCUGGAGCCACUCCCUGGGAAUCCGGGAAGCUCUCUGGCAACCUUUUCUCUCCCGUAGCAGAAUCCUAAUACCUAGUAUUGAAUGGACUUCACAAGAGACCAGGUUAUCAGGGAGAAAGGAGUUUGAAGUUAAGAAAUUAGAAGUUUUCAACCCUUAUAUAAGUCUCUGGGAUUCCUUGUACUGAGCUGGGGAUAGCAGUAACUGUAACUCACUGACAGGCACUGACCCUGGCUACAUUUGUGCUAAUAGGCUCUAUGGUUGACAACAAUAUACAACUCAUACCCUAAAGUUUAUGGGGUGCAGGGGCUUGGGGGGAUCACAGGUCUCCUCCUCUAUCCCCGCAGUCAAUGUGGGAGAUGUGGGAGCGCUGUGCCCACCACCUCACUGAGGCCAUUCAGUAUGUGGUGGAGUUUGCCAAGCGGCUUUCAGGCUUCAUGGAGCUCUGCCAGAAUGACCAGAUCAUACUACUGAAAGCAGGAGCAAUGGAAGUCGUCCUAGUCAGAAUGUGCAGGGCCUACAAUGCCAACAACCACACAGUCUUUUUUGAAGGCAAAUACGGUGGUGUGGAGCUGUUUCGAGCCUUGGGCUGCAGCGAGCUCAUCAGCUCCAUAUUUGACUUUUCCCACUUCCUCAGCGCCCUGUGUUUUUCUGAGGAUGAGAUUGCCCUCUACACGGCCCUGGUUCUCAUCAAUGCCAACCGUCCUGGGCUCCAAGAGAAGAGGAGAGUGGAACAUCUGCAAUACAAUUUGGAACUGGCUUUCCAUCAUCAUCUCUGCAAGACUCAUCGACAAGGCCUCCUAGCCAAGCUGCCACCCAAAGGAAAACUCCGGAGCCUGUGCAGCCAACAUGUGGAAAAGCUGCAGAUCUUCCAGCACCUCCACCCCAUCGUGGUCCAAGCCGCCUUCCCUCCACUCUAUAAGGAACUCUUCAGCACUGAUGUUGAAUCCCCUGAGGGGCUGUCAAAGUGAUCUGGAGGAAGGACAACUUUCUAUUUCCUUCAGCCCUCUGACCCGUCUCCCUGGACUCCCUUCACCCAGCCUUUCCCUUUCUGCACUCUAUGAAGGGUGGUAUCCCUAGGAGUAAGCAAAUCCUAAGACUGAUUUUCUGCCCCUAGGCUUGCCUUGUAGGACAACAGCAGCAAGUGAUGGAGAAAAGGCUUGUUAUGUUUGAUUUCCCAUAAGUUCCACCCUGGCUUCUGGAAGCUGUGGGGUAGAUGGGAUAGAGAUAGGAUGACCAAGUCAAAUAAAAAACAGACUGACAAUCAGCAGGGAUAAAUCCAGGUACCUGGGAUAAGGAGAACUCAAAUCUAGGCUUGAAAGCUAAUAACAGUCCUUUCAAUACCUCAUUGUAUUUCCCCAUGGGUCCUCCUGGGGGGACAUGGAUCUAGCUCAGAGACUGGUGGCAAGCCCCCAGAAGGACCUGUAUAUAAUAAGAAUAUAGAUUCCUGAGACUUUUCUGCCUUUCUUCUUCCUAGUUAAGAAAUGUUGUUGACCCCCUCUGCCUGUUUUCUGGGACCUAAAAUGCCUGGAUGUGUAAAGAAUGAGGGUGGGGUGGAGAUAAGGUCCCAAGAUAACUGUUUUAUGGGGUUUGGGUAUGAAGAAAAACAUCACUGGAAAAAUUAGAAUGGAAACCUCUUUGCACACUUUAAAAGUGUCAGAUUCGUUAGCAGUCUAAUCAGAGACACACAUCCACACAGGUGGAGCACACAGAGGCUCUGCCCCCAGUGACACCAUUCUGUAGACUUUCCCUCUGGCACACAAUCUCUUCCUUGAGGUUGCAGCUCUGAGAAGCCUGAGGUUCUAAUUCAUACAGGACACCAGAAUUCAUCCCAGCUCCAGCUGUCCUCUGUCCCUAAGAGAAGCAGAGGACCGGAUACUAACCAGCCGGAAAA